rnacentral:lncRNA from 1 species
AAUUACUCAAGGAACUAAAUUGAGGCGUGGUUUGAAUUUUGCGGACGAAAUUCUUUUAAGGGGUGGAGAAUGUAACAUACCGGAUUUUAAUAUAAAAGUAAAAAUAAUAAAAAUAGUGUGAGAUACUAUUUUUAUUAGAUUUAGAGAAGUAAAGUAUAAGUCGGAAGCGACUUGUGCUGAAAUCAGAAUGAAAAUAGAAGAUUUAGAAUUUUCUGUGAGAAACGGGGUGAUAUUUUAGCAGAAAAUGCACAGUGUCAGAAAAUUAUGAAAACUGGAGAAUAUAUCAGAAUUAUUUUUAUAAGGCUAGAUUUAAAGUUUCAUGUCAUUCUGACACUCGGAAGGUGGAAAAUAAAAUCCGACUGCUAUCUGCUAGAGAUUACAGUUCGGUAGAGCUUUUGAUGACCAAACGGGGUCGAAAUUGAAAGAUUAAAAUUUCUUUCGUCAAGUUAAGUAAAACC